rnacentral:rRNA from 1 species
UACAGAGGGUGCAAGCGUUAUUCGGAAUUACUGGGCGUAAAGCGUGCGUAGUCGGUUAUUUAAGUCGGGCGUGAAAGCCCCGGGCUCAACCUGGGAAUUGCGUUCGAUACUGGAUAGCUAGAGUUCGGCAGAGGGAAGCGGAAUUUCUGGUGUAGCGGUGAAAUGCGUAGAUAUCAGAAGGAACAUCAGUGGCGAAAGCGGCUUCCUGGACCAGAACUGACGAUCAGGCACGAAAGCGUGGGGAGCAAACAGG